rnacentral:ncRNA from 1 species
AGCGAUAGACGUCGUGCGCAAAUAAUCGCUGACUCUUGGGUAUAGGGGCGAAAGACUAAUCGAACCAUCUAGUAGCUGGUUCCCUCCGAAGUUUCCCUCAGGAUAGCUGGAGCCCAUUACGAGUUCUAUGAGGUAAAGCCAAUGAUUAGAGGCAUUGGGGACGCAACGUCCUCGACCUAUUCUCAAACUUUAAAUAGGUAGGAUGGCUCGGCUG